GGAUCCUGCCAAAAGAUGUAAUGCUGUUUUGCCCUCAUAGUUUCUUCCAUCUAAGAUAGAAUUGGCAGGAUAUAUCAAGGCUACUUAAAAGUCAGGAUGGCUCUGCUAUGGUACAUCUCCAAAAAUAUUUUGAUGGUGCUUAAAAGCUCCAAAGGCAAUGUCCUUGAAAUGUUUCAUCACCAUGUAUCCUUAACUUAUUAGUUAACUCUUGUUAACUUUUGGACAUUGUCAACAGAAUUGUGUCCAAUUGGUCCAAUAUGUAUAUUAGGAUCCCUUAAUGUCAUGUUGUAUCACCCUGAAUCUCUUCACUGCUGUGAAAGUCAUGGCAAACAAGAUUAAAAGAUGUGCAAUCGAAAAAUAAAACAGUUAAUGAGACAGUGA